rnacentral:rRNA from 1 species
GAUGAACGCUGGCGGCGUGCCUAAUACAUGCAAGUCGAGCGAACGGACGAGAAGCUUGCUUCUCUGAUGUUAGCGGCGGACGGGUGAGUAACACGUGGAUAACCUACCUAUAAGACUGGGAUAACUUCGGGAAACCGGAGCUAAUACCGGAUAAUAUUUUGAACCGCAUGGUUCAAAAGUGAAAGACGGUCUUGCUGUCACUUAUAGAUGGAUCCGCGCUGCAUUAGCUAGUUGGUAAGGUAACGGCUUACCAAGGCAACGAUGCAUAGCCGACCUGAGAGGGGGGUCGGCCACCCGGGAACUGAGACACGGCCCAGACCCCAACGGGGGGCAGCAGUGGGGAAUCUUCCGCAAUGGGCGAAAGCCUGACGGAGCAACGCCGGGGGAGUGAUGAAGGGUUUGGGAUCGUAAACCUCUUUUAUUAGGGAAGAAAAUAUGUGUAAUUAACUGUGCACCUCUUGGCGGUACCAAAUCAAAAAGCCACGGCUAACUACGU